rnacentral:rRNA from 1 species
UGGGCCGCACGCGCGCUACACUGAUGAAGUCAGCGAGUUGAUAACCUUGGCCGCACAGUCUGGGUAAACUUUUGAAACUUCAUCGUGCUGGGGAUAGAGCAUUGUAAUUAUUGCUCUUCAACGAGGAAUUCCUAGUAAGCGCAAGUCAUCAGCUGCGUUGAUUACGUCCCUGCCCUUUGUACACACCGCCCGUCGCUACUACCGAUUGAAUGGUUAUAGUGAGCAUAUGGGAUCAGUAGGAUUUGACUGGCAACAGUCAUUUCCUGCAGAGAACUAUGGCAAACUAGGCUAUUUAGAGGAAGUAAAAGUCGUAACAAGGUUUCCGUAGGUGAACCUGCGGAAGGAUCAUUAAUUAUGUUAAAGCGCCUUACCUUAGGGUUUCCUCUGGGGUAAGUGAUUGCUUCUACACUGUGAAAAUUUGGCUGAGAGACUCAGACUGGUCAUGGGUAGACCUAUCUGGGGUUUGAUCGAUGCCACUCCUGGUUUCAGGAGCACCCUUCAUAAUAAACCUAGAAAUUCAGUAUUAUAAAGUUUAAUAAAAAACAACUUUUAACAAUGGAUCUCUUGGUUCUCGCAUCGAUGAAGAACGUAGCAAAGUGCGAUAACUAGUGUGAAUUGCAUAUUCAGUGAAUCAUCGAGUCUUUGAACGCAGCUUGCACUCUAUGGUUUUUCUAUAGAGUACGCCUGCUUCAGUAUCAUCACAAACCCACACAUAACAUUUGUUUAUGUGGUAAUGGGUCGCAUCGCUGUUUUAUUACAGUGAGCACCUAAAAUGUGUGUGAUUUUCUGUCUGGCUUGCUAGGCAGGAAUAUUACGCUGGUCUCAGGAUCUUUUUCUUUGGUUUGCCCCGGAAGUAAAGUACAAGAG